rnacentral:rRNA from 1 species
GACGAACGCUGGCGGCGUGCCUAAUACAUGCAAGUCGAGCGCGUGAAUCUGACAGAUCCCUUCGGGGUGACGACAGUGGAUCGAGCGGCGGAUGGGUGAGUAACACAUGGGCAACCUGCCUGUAAGACGGGGAUAACUCGCGGAAACGUGAGCUAAUACCGGAUAAAACUUUUCAUCGCAUGGUGAGAAGAUGAAAGGUGGCGUAAGCUAUCACUUACAGAUGGGCCCGUGGCGCAUUAGCUAGUUGGUGAGGUAAGAGCUUACCAAGGCGACGAUGCGUAGCCGACCUGAGAGGGUGAUCGGCCACACUGGGACUGAGACACGGCCCAGACUCCUACGGGAGGCAGCAGUAGGGAAUCUUCCGCAAUGGACGCAAGUCUGACGGAGCAACGCCGCGUGAGUGAAGAAGGUCUUCGGAUCGUAAAACUCUGUUGUUAGGGAAGAACCAGUACGGAUCGAAUAGGUCAGUACCUUGACGGUACCUAACCAGAAAGCCCCGGCUAACUACGUGCCAGCAGCCGCGGUAAUACGUAGGGGGCAAGCGUUGUCCGGAAUUAUUGGGCGUAAAGGGCGCGCAGGCGGUUCCUUAAGUCUGAUGUGAAAUCUCGUGGCUUAACCACGAGCGUGUCAUUGGAAACUGAGGAACUUGAGUGCAGAAGAGGAGAGUGGAAUUCCACGUGGAGCGGUGAAAUGCGUAGAGAUGUGGAGGAACACCAGUGGCGAAGGCGACUCUCUGGUCUGUAACUGACGCUGAGGCGCGAAAGCGUGGGUAGCGAACAGGAUUAGAUACCCUGGUAGUCCACGCCGUAAACGAUGAGUGCUAGGUGUCAGGGGGUUUCCGCCCCUUGGUGCUGGAGUUAACGCAUUAAGCACUCCGCCUGGGGAGUACGGCCGCAAGGCUGAAACUCAAAAGAAUUG